GAGGGAAAGUUGAAAAGAACUUUGAAGAGAGAGUUCAAAAGGGCGUGAAACCGCUUAGAAUAAAACGGACGGAGCCGUCAGUGGCCCUUUGGAAUCAGUCGUAUGUCGCGCGAUAAUUCGCUAGUCAGAGCGAAAAGUCUGACUGGUGGGUUGGAAAAGAGCGUUCAUUCGAUGCAUUUCUAGAGGGUAAGCGCCGCGACCGAUGCGAAAGGCUAGUGAAACUGGCGAAUUGAGGGCGAAACCUUUCGGGGUAUUCGUAACCAGUUCGUCGGUCUAUAGUCGCUAGACCGUAGUAUGUAUCGAGCGCAGAAUCUGAACGAAUGCCGGCGUAAACGCUCGUUCAAACGGUGGAAAGUCGACGGAUUAUUCGUCGCCUGCUUGCAGGUUACGUUUAUUCCCGUUCGGCGUUAGAAACCGAAGACGAGAAUCGGUGUUUCGGCGUCAGCGGCGUCCGAGACGGUCAACCGUCCGACCCGUCUUGAAACACGGACCAAGGAGUCUAACGUACGCGCGAGUUAAUGAGUGGAAAACUCAUAAGCGCAAUAAAAGUAAAAGCCGUCUUUGGCGGCGCGGGGUACGAUCCUUCGAAUAGAGAUAUUCGAGGCGCAGUACCAUCCCGUCCUGAUCGCUUGUCGAUAGGGCGGAGAUUGAGUGCGUACGUUGGGACCCGAAAGAUGGUGAACUAUGCCUGAGCAGAGCGAAGCCAGAGGAAACUCUGGUGGAGGUUCGUAGCGGUUCUGACGUGCAAAUCGAUCGUCAGAC
rnacentral:rRNA from 1 species